rnacentral:lncRNA from 1 species
UCGGAUACAGGGGAAAUGAUUCAUGAUUGAACCAAAGAGAUUCUCUUAAUGAACUUGCCCCAGGGGGAUAUCCAGCUCUUUAUAUGAGCAAAUUUAAUGAAUCAUAAUGAAUUUCAUCAUAUGAAACCAUGUGGACCGCAGCAUGAAGGAGCCUGGGAGUAAACGGGUCUAGACGCAGGUGGGAAGCAGCACAGGGAACUCUGGGAUAGGAAGCCACGGGCACGGAACGGUCACAGACUUUUCUACCUUUAACGAAUCUGGCCUUAUUGAAAGCAAAAGCCAGUUUCACCGUGAUGGAGCUCAUAGUGUUUUGUGAAAACAUGACCCCUUUGUCGGAGAAGAUCAAAGUCAUU